GGCUGGUCAGAAGAUAGUGAAUUAUCUCGAUUGUUCACCGUCAGUUACAGGUGGAACUCCUUGUACCUCCUUCUCACUACUGCACUUGACUAGUCUUAA
rnacentral:Y_RNA from 1 species